GCAAAAGAGUGGGAAGAUCUUUGAGUAGAGGUGACAGACCUACCGAGCUCAGUUAUAGCUGGUUGCCUACAAAAAGAAUAGAAGUUCAGCCUUUACACUUCUUCUCUCAAAACUGCAUAUACUAAUAAGUGACACAAAGAAGUUAAAAGAGUUAUUCAAGGGGGGAACAGCCCCCUUGAAAAAAGAUACAACUUUAUUUAGAAGGCUAAAGAUUAAAAUACCCCAGGCAAAUAUACCUUGGUGGGCCUAAAAGCAGCCAUCCAUAUAGAAAGCGUUAAAGCUCAAGUACUUUGCCCCUCCCUAAUUUCAAUAAUUCAAUCUUAAGCCCCUUAAUUAAUAGUAGGCCUUUUCAUGCACCCAUGAAAGAGAUACUGCUGAGAUGAGUAAUAAGAGGACCGCUCCUCUCCCCAACACUUGUAUAAUUCAGAACGAACCCCCACUGAAAAUUAACGCCCCCAACUAAAAGAGGGGCCUGGGAAAGCCCAAAAUAAACUAGAAGCUCACCCAACAAUUAGCGUUAACCCUACACAGGUGUGUUUUAAGGAAAGACUAAAAGAAAAAGAAGGAACUCGGCAAACACUGGCCUCGCCUGUUUACCAAAAACAUCGCCUCUUGCAACAAACGUAUAAGAGGUCCCGCCUGCCCUGUGACUUACUAGUUUAACGGCCGCGGUAUUUUGACCGUGCGAAGGUAGCGUAAUCACUUGUCUUUUAAAUGGAGACCUGUAUGAAUGGCACAACGAGGGCUAAGCUGUCUCCUUUUUCCAGUCAAUGAAAUUGAUUUUCCCGUGCAGAAGCGGGAAUAUAAACAUAAGACGAGAAGACCCUAUGGAGCUUAAGACACAAGGCAGCCCAUGUAAAACACCUGGCUCAACAGAAUUAACCAAGUGGCCCCUGCCCUUUUGUCUUUGGUUGGGGCGACCGCGGGGGAACAAAAAUCCCCCACGUGGAAUGGGGCCAACCCCCCUAAAGCCAGAGCCACAGCUCUAGCUAGCAGAACAUCUGACCUACAAGAUCCGGCAAAGCCGAUCAACGGACCGAGUUACCCUAGGGAUAACAGCGCAAUCCCCUUUUAGAGCCCAUAUCGACAAGGGGGUUUACGACCUCGAUGUUGGAUCAGGACAUCCUAAUGGUGCAGCCGCUA
rnacentral:rRNA from 1 species